rnacentral:rRNA from 1 species
UACGGAGGGUGCAAGCGUUGUCCGGAUUUAUUGGGUUUAAAGGGUGCGUAGGCGGCCCUGUAAGUCAGUGGUGAAAUACUGCAGCUUAACUGUAGCAUUGCCAUUGAUACUGUAGGGCUUGAGUACAGAUGAGGUAGGCGGAAUUGAUGGUGUAGCGGUGAAAUGCAUAGAUACCAUCAAGAACACCGAUUGCGAAGGCAGCUUACUAUGGUCUUAUUGACGCUGAGGCACGAAAGCGUGGGGGAUCAAACAGG